rnacentral:snRNA from 1 species
GCGCUCCCUUCGGCAGCCCACAUACUAAAAUUGGAAUGAUGAGAGGCUCCUGCGCAAGGAUUACACACAAAUCUGUGAAGCAUUCCAUAUUUUU